UUCCCAACCCAGGGAUCGAACCCAGGUCUCCCACAAUGCAGGCAGACUCUUUACCAACUGAGCCACCAGGGA
rnacentral:tRNA from 1 species